rnacentral:misc_RNA from 1 species
UCCAAUUUCAAUUCGAUACACAGGUAUUGUUUCUUAUCUUCAACAAACUAAUAGUGUUCACUUUUUCUUAGAUUUAGUGCUGACUUGUAACCUGGCGCUUCCAUCAGUUUUUAGCUUAGUAGAUUCAUCAAACUGAAUGAUUUGCUUAGGCUUAUCCUUUCAAUUCAACUUAUGGUUCACUCUUCAGAAAAGGUACACAAAGGAUCUAGAGUGUGUUAUAAGGAUCUUGUUAG